UGUCGUCCUUUCUUUCCACUCUUCAUUUUCCUCCCGCACCUAUCACACCAUCUCCCGAUCUAGAAAGACCACCGUGAUUCCCACCGACCGCCGCCGACGGCCGUCCCGUCCUCCGCCGCAGGCACCUCAACCACCGUCGUUUUUUUACCCCAGCCUACCGGUGUCGCCUGCUUCUCUCUACAAAUCCAUCCCUUUCCAUGCCCGACCUCCCAGAUUCCCCACCACCGAUGGAUCCCAGCAGGCGCUCUCCAGCUCGUUCGGUGGCACACGAUUUGGAGUAGAUCCAUCCCCUGGGCGCCUUGCUCGCUGACGGGAAGAUGAUCUGCCGUCCCGAGCGUCGAGGGCCUCCAGCAGGUGGCGUCGGGAGGCAGGAGAAGCCGUGGUGGAGGAACGCACGAGGGCGUGUUAAUUGGAGUUGCUGGUAAAGCACGGAAAGUGUGAUCAUGGGGAGGAUAUUUUUUCUCCUUGUCUUCUUACUGAUAUUUUGGUAGCGGCCAUGAUCCAACGCCAGUCAGCAUUUUGGAAUCAUCAUUUGGCAUCGUUAAUGUUGGUUUAUGUUUGGCGCCUAACUGGAGGGCUACCGGAGUUCGUGCAGGGCAUGGCGUCGCCACAGGACCCGUAGCCAACAACCCGCUCAGAGGGAGCGUAAUGCGCUCCAGCUUGUUUUCAGGUUUCUCUCGAUCAUGUAAUUGCGUUGGAUGCUAGAACAAAUUUGUCUUAUCAUAUAUUUUCAUUGGAUAUUAGAGCAAAUUGUAAAGAACCGUCCCCAGAUUUGUUAUUGCAAAUCACCGUUUCUUUCA